GUCCAGUGGGGCCUUGUAGACCUGGAGGACCCAUAAUACCUGCAGGUCCUGCUGGUCCUGGUGGUCCUUCGACAAGCAUACCAGGCUCAACCACUGCUGGUUCUCCUUUCUGUCCUUUCUCUCCAUAUGCACCAUGGCCAUUUAUGCUUGUUUCUGUAAUAUCAGUUUCUGCUGGUACACCUGGACCAAAUUCUUCAUUAGGGGGGCUUGUUGGUUUAUCUUCAUAUUCUUUAUAUUCAUAAAAAUCAUAUUCGCCUAAAUCUCCAUCUACCAGAAGAUCAGAAUCCCUGCCGUCUAUUUCUUUGUUUUCAUAUAGUGUAUCCUCAGAAUUUUUCCUCUGGGAAUCAUAAUCCUCUCC
rnacentral:lncRNA from 1 species